rfam:Nippostrongylus brasiliensis genome assembly, scaffold: NBR_scaffold0000258
GUCUCAGUAGCAUAGUGGUUACUGGACAGCCCCGGAAAGGUUGAGACGCGGGCUCGAUUCCCGCCUGAGAUG